CUCGUCAAUAAAAAGCACGAAAGAUCAUUAAUGUAUUUACAUUGAGCCUCAUCAUCGGGGAAUUAUAUAAGAGCUUCGAGUGGUGGUGAAUAGUUUAAGGCUUAAGGUGACAUCGCGUUAUGUGCCAUCACAAAAACGACAGAACACCCGACAAUAGAAUAAUAACUUGCACAAAGGAAACAAUCUCUCAAUUUAACUUAAAUUAACGUAGGGAUGUGGGCUUCGCAUAUAAACCCAAUUGAGGCUGAUUAGCGGACAGUUGACUCGUAGUCGUGAGUGUAUGUGAACGACUUUUUCCCAUUGAGAAACGACGCACAAUUUUGGAUAAUUAAGCGAGAACUAUCUACAAGUCUGGAAAUGAUGAUUUCAAUUUUUAAACCCGAGCCGAGAGUGAGUCUGUUGUUAAUUUGCUGAUGCUUCGCUCAAGGAUGCGCUCCAGCAGGUAGUUAAAGCAGAUGUUUUAAAUGAGCCUUUUAUUAGUUAGCCGUUAAUGAACUUUACUCGUCACUGUAAUGGCAUUUAACAUUUUGUUGGCUGCGAAUUGGAUAAAGUAAACAGCCAGUGGCUGUCCAGCAAACUUCGCUAAAGGGAAAACAUGCUGCAUUGAAGACUUGAGUUACCUCAACCGUUCUGUUACUAAGUACUAGUGCCGCAGGAGUGCACUUGAUCUCCUGCUGCUCAAGUGCUUAUCAAUGGGCAUUGAAAUCCGUCACAAUCACCAGCGGGACUUUCGAAGAAUCGACUGUAAUUGUAAUGUGUUUAAAACAAUAUAUUUUACCAAACCUA